rnacentral:rRNA from 1 species
GACGAACGCUGGCGGCGUGCUUAACACAUGCAAGUCGAACGGAAAGGCCCUGCUUGCAGGGUACUCGAGUGGCGAACGGGUGAGUAACACGUGGGUGAUCUGCCCUGCACUUCGGGAUAAGCCUGGGAAACUGGGUCUAAUACCGGAUAGGAGCCAUUUUUAGUGUGAUGGUUGGAAAGUUUUUUCGGUGUAGGAUGAGCUCGCGGCCUAUCAGCUUGUUGGUGGGGUAAUGGCCUACCAAGGCGGCGACGGGUAGCCGGCCUGAGAGGGUGGACGGCCACAUUGGGACUGAGAUACGGCCCAGACUCCUACGGGAGGCAGCAGUGGGGAAUAUUGCACAAUGGGCGCAAGCCUGAUGCAGCGACGCCGCGUGGGGGAUGACGGCCUUCGGGUUGUAAACUCCUUUCGCUAGGGACGAAGCUUUUUGUGACGGUACCUAGAUAAGAAGCACCGGCUAACUGCGUG